rnacentral:rRNA from 1 species
UACGAAGGGUGCAACCGUUGCUCGGAAUUAUUGGGCGUAAAGCGCACGUAGGCGGCUUAGCAAGUUGGAUGUGAAAUCCCCGGGCUCAACCUGGGAAUGGCAUUUGGGACUGCAAGGCUUGAGUGCGGCAGAGGAGACUGGAAUUCCUGGUGUAGCAGUGAAAUGCGUAGAUAUCAGGAGGAAUACCGAUGGCGAAGGCAGGUCUCUGGGCUGACACUGACGCUCAUGCACGAAAGCGUGGGGAGCAAACAGG